AGUGUUACUCAUGCUGCCUCCAUCCCUGGUGCCCUCUCUGUAUCUCUGUGCCUUUGUGCACACUGCUUCCUCUGCCUGGAAGCCCUUCUUCCUUUCUCCACACAACACAUCCCUCCUUACUCAUUAAAGUCCCGUACAAAUGCUAAAGGCAGCUGAUCUUGUCAGCAAACUUGGCCACCAAAUAGAAAAUCUCCUUCUAUGCCCACUAGUCAUGGACAAAACUCAAAAGUUGCAUGGGAACUUCAGUUAUCGGGCAAUGUUACCAGGGUUUGGGGCAGAAGGAACAGAUAAAAGGGACAAUUCUAAGGAAGAUGAUUGAAAGACUGACCCCAAUGUGGAGAGGAUGAUUCCAGCACUACUCGUACUGCACUAGAAUGCAAAUUGCAAGAGGGCAGAUAAAUGGUUCAUUCUGUUUCUAUUCACCGUUUCAUCGCAGGAAUGGAAGCAUAAUAGGCUCUCAGAACAUUUUUGUUCAGUGUUCAAUUGAUGAACAUAGGAGAGAGCUCAGGCUAACUUGGAAGUCAUUUAUGUGUAAGCACAGGGCAACUGGUUGUUACAGAAAAGAGAACAUUCAAGAAAUCAUGGAGGUGGAAUACAGGAACCUGGGCACCACAUACGCAGAUUACGUGUUGCUCCGGGUUCUUUUGCCUUGACUUCAUAUCUGCCCCCUCAGUCUCUCCAGGAUACAAUGUGGAAAACAUGGCCACUGACAGGUUGGCAUAACUGCCAGAAUAGCUUUAUUCAUCAGAAAGACAGGGACUGUCCUACUUACUACCAGUUCUAAAAUCCCUAGAAAAAGACUGCUAUUAGACUGGCUUUUCAAUGGCGGGUACCAACCCUUUAUCCAAUCCAUUGUGAUCGGCGUAGGAAGUCUCAUGAGUACAGUGAGAAUGCACUCCA
ensembl:lncRNA LINC02647 long intergenic non-protein coding RNA 2647